UAUAACCACAAAAUAUAUUCUUUCAAUACUAAUAAAAAAAAACAUUUGUCUAAGACUAUUGGAAUUCUCUUCAUUGCAUAGUUAAUUGGUUCCUAUAUAAAUGUGUCAAUCCUUCUAGGCAUUUCUUCACCUUUCACACCUGAUAAAUAUUUUGAUCAAGCAUCUAAGAGUGUUACCACAAUAUGUCUGCUUCUCAGGAUGGUGCCAACAAGUAAGUGUAUUGCUUUUGCAUUUCAUACAUUCAUGUGCACUGUUUUUGUUUGCAAUAGAUUUAAGCUAUUCUUUUCCUUACCGGGCAAGGAAAGCUGGAGAUCAUGCCGCAUAUAGUCUUUUAAACAACCUCAGCAAUGCGACAAAUGAUAGUAGUAUUAAAGUGUGCAUUGCUCGAAUGCGGUACAAUCUGCAUGUAUAUGACAAAAAACAGUUGAUUAGUAUUGACAUGGUGUUGAUUGAUGAAGAGGUAUCACUUUGUAUGGUAUUUUCGUAAAAAUUC
rnacentral:lncRNA from 1 species